UGCAAGUCGAACGGUGAUCCGGUGCUUGCACCGGUGAUCAGUGGCGAACGGGUGAGUAACACGUGAGUAACCUGCCCCCGACUCUGGGAUAACCCCGGGAAAUCGGAGCUAAUACCGGAUACGAGACGCACAGGCAUCUGUUGCGUCUGGAAAGAAUUUCGGUCGGGGAUGGACUCGCGGCCUAUCAGCUUGUUGGUGGGGUAACGGCCCACCAAGGCGACGACGGGUAGCCGGCCUGAGAGGGCGACCGGCCACACUGGGACUGAGACACGGCCCAGACUCCUACGGGAGGCAGCAGUGGGGAAUAUUGCACAAUGGGCGAAAGCCUGAUGCAGCGACGCCGCGUGGGGGAUGAAGGCCUUCGGGUUGUAAACCCCUUUCAGCAGGGAAGAAGCGAAAGUGACGGUACCUGCAGAAGAAGCGCCGGCUAACUACGUGCCAGCAGCCGCGGUAAUACGUAGGGCGCAAGCGUUGUCCGGAUUUAUUGGGCGUAAAGAGCUCGUAGGCGGUUUGUCGCGUCUGCUGUGAAAACCCGAGGCUCAACCUCGGGCCUGCAGUGGGUACGGGCAGACUAGAGUGCGGUAGGGGAGACUGGAAUUCCUGGUGUAGCGGUGGAAUGCGCAGAUAUCAGGAGGAACACCGAUGGCGAAGGCAGGUCUCUGGGCCGCAACUGACGCUGAGGAGCGAAAGCAUGGGGAGCGAACAGGAUUAGAUACCCUGGUAGUCCAUGCCGUAAACGUUGGGCACUAGGUGUGGGGCUCAUUCCACGAGUUCCGUGCCGCAGCAAACGCAUUAAGUGCCCCGCCUGGGGAGUACGGCCGCAAGGCUAAAACUCAAAGGAAUUGACGGGGGCCCGCACAAGCGGCGGAGCAUGCGGAUUAAUUCGAUGCAACGCGAAGAACCUUACCAAGGCUUGACAUAUACCGAAAACUCAUGGAGACAUGGGGUCCGCAAGGGCGGUAUACAGGUGGUGCAUGGUUGUCGUCAGCUCGUGUCGUGAGAUGUUGGGGUUAAGUCCCGCAACGAGCGCAACCCUCGUCCUAUGUUGCCAGCACAUCAUGGUGGGGACUCAUAGGA
rnacentral:rRNA from 1 species